GAAGUCAAAGUCCUUCCCUCUGUGUGUGGACUUCAGUGGAACUCUCAGGUCACAGAGAUUCAGGGUGGUCAGAGGCGGUUUGAUGUUUUGGGGAGAAAGAACAGCCGUGAAGGAUUCUGUGAUGCAGGAGAAGGUGGGAGGCCUCAGGACAGAAUCAGCAGGUCACCAUGCUUUCCUGCGUCAUCCACCUGUGGGCCUCUAAUGUGUUUCUAUGAAGUUUGCAUUAAAGUUUCAGCCACUAUUUUUCAGAAACAUGGUCAACCUCUCCUUCCCUCCUCUAUCUGCUGAUAGAGUUCUACAGAAAACAAGGGAAUGACUUGAGGAGGUGAGGGGGAUUCUGAAGGUUGUUGGUGGAUUCCUAGAAUGUAGCCCGCAGAACUGUGCCUGGAACGAUACCGGAUCACUGCAAAAGUACAGCGAACAGGGUCGCUUUGAAUAUUAAAGGAGGACUUUUUCAAAGUGUAUAGAGAGCAGUCAAAAGAUCGCCACAGUUGCUCUGUGUUUUCGUGAGCCAGCUUUCUCGGAAGGUGAGCUGGUUCCGCUCUGCCUGGGUUUACUGUUUCAGAGGAGUGGUUCUCAGCUGCCGGACUGGCAUAGUCCUGUGUUCACACAGUUUCCUAAUCCUGAAACCAGCAAUCACAAAGUCAGUUCCUCAUCAAGAGAUCAAAGUCAUUCAUUUUGGAUACAAUCAUAUUUUCAGGCUAAAGGGAAGGUUGGGAAGGUCAGGCAUUAGAAUGCUGGAGGAGUGUCCUUGGCAGAGAAGGACUAAGCCAGUGGAUCACAAACAUCCUGGAGAGCAGUGACUCUGUGAUUCCAUCACAAGAAUAUGAAGGACUGAGAAGAUCUCCAGCUCUGCCCAUUGCACCUUCCCAUUGAGAAGCAGCAUGGCACCCUGGUGGCAGGGGCUGAUACUCAGCCGGGCCAGGGUGCUCUCCUGUUAACCAUAACCAAGCUCACAGGACAUGGGAUGAGCCCACUGUGUGACACAGGGAGCGGGACACAGUCUGUUAAGUCUUGCACAGCCAUGCUCUGCCACGCAGGCAGGCCUUUCCUUGGCCUCCCUCUCCCUGUUCGUGCUCAUGUGAACAUCCACCUACGUGGAUAGACUGGGCUUUGGUUCAUUAUUGCUCUGUGAAUUCCUCGAACUUCCGCAUCUGCCCAACCUCCCCCACCCCAUUGUUUUCAUUGUGUUUCACCAAAUGGAAAUUCUAGAGUAAGCAUGUGAGUCCUCUCCCAAACUUGUUCACUGUUGAGAGUGCUAAAAUGCUAACCCCAGAUGCUAACUGAGGGGUAGGGUUACCUUAUCUUUAGAGCACUGCGAAUUGUAUGUUAAGUGGAACUUAAUGAAAAAAUAGUUAAUUGACCAACAUGAAUAUCCCCUGAACAGAAUCUCCCCUGAACAGAAUCCUACAAUGAAACUAAGGGAGAUAAAUAAAGCUGUUUACCUGAAAGCUCUCUCUAAUCAAGAUCCUUUGAAAUUUAUAAAACAUGGUCAAUAUUUGCACUGGACUUUGUAAAAAUAAAGCUUGAUAAGAGAAGAGUUUGAAGUGAAAUGCUGCCACUUUCUAUGCAAUAUUUGAUUUAAAUUUAAUUCCUAGAAACCUCAGAUGAAUGUGGUUCAUGUAUCAAAGCACUCAGCAUUAUUUAUCGCGGCCUUAAAUACACAGUGAGCUUACAUGUGAAUGAAUACAUAUAUUAUGUAUCUCUCUCUAUAUAUAUACUAUAUAGAUAAUAUAGUAUAUAUAUAUAUAUAGUGUAUAUAUACACUAUAUAUAUCGUGUAUACAUAUACUAUCUAUAUAGUAUAUAUGUAUAUGGUAUAUAUAUCUAUCUAUAGAUAGAUAGAUAGAUAUACUUAAAAAAACCCCAUUCCCUUAAGAGCAGUUAAGGGACACCAUAUAUCAAAUUUCUUGGCACGUUGUGAAUAUUAAUAUCCCCAAAGUGUCAAUGUCAAAUGAUUUGACUUGAAAUCACUAAGCUUGGUAAUCUCACUAUUUUUAAACAAGGCCUAACAUCUUUUAAUCUUGAAUACCAGCAAGUUCUCAGACUUCAGUUGUUUAUUUUCUCUUUUCUUUCCUUUAAAAAAUUCUGACAAGCUCUUUUCCUUGACACAAAGAAAGCGUAUAAAUUUUAUUUUGGUUUGAACAACAGAAAUUUGCCUCUCAGAAUUCUGGAGAUUGGAAAGUCUAAGGACUAAGCUGCUGGCCAAUUUAGUUCUUAGUGAGGACUCUCUUCCUGGCUUGUAGAUGGCUGCCUUCUCACUGCAUCCUCAGAGAGAGAGAGAGAGAGGGCUCUUGUGUCUCUUCCUUUCUCAUAAAGCGUCAGCUCUCUUGUAUUAGGGUCCCACCCAUAAUUACCCCCUUAUAUGCCCCAUCUACAAAUAGAGUCACAUUGUGGGUUAGAGCUUGGCAGUGAAUAAUUAUGGAGGUUAUUGUUGGCUUUAGAAUUUCGUGGUAGAAACAAUAAAUUGCCUUUGUGUUUA
rnacentral:lncRNA from 1 species